UCCAAGUCCUCCUCUUGGAUUUGACUGUGUCAGAGGUCUCAGAGGUCUCUGACAACCCAAAGCCCAAUGUGAACAGUCAUACUCUUUACAAUGUCAGCAACAACAGUAACAGCAAGUACUUGUUAUAUGCUAGGAAUUAUGCCAAGCCCUAAAGAUACAAAUACAAACAAUGAAACAAUGCCUACUUAAGACCUAACAUUCUGAAGAGGAGGAUGACAAGUACAUAAGAAAGUAAUACAGAAUGAAUAUAAGGAGAAGAAAUAUAAAAUCAUUAAAUACAACUCCAAGUAGCCAUCCAGCCUUUGCUGAUCUAUGAAGGCCUCUAAUGAUAAGCAACUUCAAAAGGUGAAGAGUGCAGUCUUCAAACAUGGGAGUUUCAAAAAUUGAAAGAACAAGUCACACAGAUCUAGAAAUUGGAAUACAGACUGGGAUUUGCAGCUCAUGAAAUGCAAUGACCUAAGGAAUCAGGAAUAAUCUUUGGGAGUGAUCUUCGAGAUUAUAGCCCAGGAGAAGAUCUGUCUUGGAAGUCACAUAGGUGCUCGACAUGAACAUGAUUUGGUGGGACUAAUGGUAUAUAGGAACUAAACAAAGUUAUGAGCUCACCACUACACUCCCCACAACCUUUAUAUUCUUUUUCCACAGAUUAGUGACAUAGAGGACAUUAUGAUCCCAAAUAUUAAAAAUGUACAUUUGUUCUUGCUAAAACUUUGAAAUAAAUAUAUCUUUUUAAAAAAAG